GGAUUGUAGCUCAGUGGUAGAGUGCUUGCCUGGCAUGUGUGAGGCAACUGGGUUCAAUUCUCAGCACCA
rnacentral:tRNA from 1 species